rnacentral:rRNA from 1 species
UCCGUAGGGUGCGAUCGUUAAUCGGAAUUACUGGGCGUAAAGCGUGCGCAGGCGGUCUGCUAAGACAGGUGUGAAAUCCCUGGGCUCAACCUAGGAAUUGCGCUUGUGACUGGCGGGCUAGAGUACGGUAGAGGGGGGUGGAAUUCCUGGUGUAGCAGUGAAAUGCGUAGAGAUCAGGAGGAACACCGAUGGCGAAGGCAGCCCCCUGGGCCUGUACUGACGCUCAGGCACGAAAGCGUGGGGAGAAAACAGG